GUACAGGUAUCUUUUCUGAUUGUUGCUGAGUUUACUGCAUACUUUGGGGAUAGGUAUGUCGUGUAUGCAUCUGAAAUUAUGAGACUAGAAACUCCUUUCUGGGUUUCUGUCCUCGAUUUAUAUCCUUCCCAAGGUAAGAUGUCCGGCAUCUGUGUAGUCUCUGCAUUCAGGUUGAGGCAGGCAAUCCAGUCAGAAGCUCACCCGUGUAUGCCUAUAUUGGUUUCUACACUCUGAUUGCAAAUCUAUGGAGGGUAAGAAAGAUUUGAAAGGCUAUCGCACGCUCACAGAUCCUGAAUGUAGAAAGCAAAGACAACUUGAAAGAUGCAAAGUUGGGUUAUGUCGUGAUGCUGGGGAGGUUUUGAAGUGUAGAACAUUGAUUUCUUCUGUUCGUGGUUGAAGACAUUGCAAAGAUAGCUGCUGUUCAUUUGGAAUCAGCAAUGCUUGCCAUUUAAUGGGAACCGUUCAUUUUUAAAAUGAGAUUUUUGGCUAUUACUGCUUAAGAUAUUGUCAAUUACAGAAGACAAAACUGGGUAUUGGUCCUGCUAAAAAUGCAGUGAUACUCAACUAAUAAUAAUGUCUAUUUAUUCUUCAAUUUGGAAAAAUGUUGGUUUAUCCAUAAACAUCCACUAGUUCCUCAUUUGCGAACUUUCAU